GCCGCGUCCUACUUGCGGUGUGGCGCUGGCACCGCGGGGCCAGCGGCGGCUCGGCCGGGCGGCCUCAGUGUGCCCCCCGCGCCCCAGCAACGGGCCGGGGCUCAGCCUCACGGCCCGCCGGGGACGGCGGCGUGUGCCGCGGUGGUGGUGGGAGCCCUCCUCCCCCUUCCUUCUCCCGUCCUCCUCCUCCUGGCCCAGGAGUUUUUAAACUUUAAAGCGCAGGGUACCUCGGCCUGCCUGCCUUUGUCCCUCGGACACCGCGCUCGGCCACCGGCAACCCGCGGGGCCGCGUCCCGCCGCCUCGCCUCCGCCCUACCCCCAGAGAGCAUCUGGAGAGAGGGAAAAGAGGGAAGAGAGAGAGAAAGGGCGCGUUCAUGAGGACUACAAAGUUACAAAUAUGGCUCCCCAGUCUCUCCUGCCUGAUCACUGCAAAGAAACGAAGACGCACUUUAAACUAAACCGUUUCCAACUCGCUCGCAGCCCCCGCCGGCCUCUCCCUGCCCAGCACCCAGCACAAAUAUUUGCCAACUAAACACGAGAGAGAGGAGCCACCAACUUAUUUUAUUUAAACGCCCGGCAGACCUUCCCCCCCCCCCGCCCCCCCUCCUCGGGCAUCGCGCUCGGUUUAAGGGGAGGGGGGGACAGGAGCAGCCGCUGCUCCCCAACAUCCCUCCUUUAGACCUUAACGCGCUUGGGGCACCCCGAAUCGGGGUGAGCCCCCCAUCCCCUCCGCGCACAGGUUGGUUUUUAGUCCUUAAGAUUGUUCAUUGAGACGAUGAAACGAGAAGACUUUGUGCUAUUGAAAGCGCUGCAUGAACACCUCUGAAAUCUCCCUUGUUAGAGAGCUGAUGAUGUGAGGAAAGUCCUUUGUCAUCAAAUAGGUUCUGAUCAUUCCAUCUAUGGAAGGGAAUGUUUGUUUUGGAGAAAUCCAUGCAAGUUUCAGAAGACUCAGUGCAAACAAAGUGAAGCUGUGGCUGCCCCAUCCCUGGCAGUGCUCAAGCCCAGGUUGGAUGGGGCUUGGAGCAACCUGCUCUAGUGGAAGGGGUCCCUGCCCACAGCACGGGAUUAGAACUGAAUCAGCAUGAGGGUCCUUUCCAACCCAAACCAGUGUGGGGUUCUAUGUGCCUCUCUCCAUGGCUCCAAGGAAAAGGUGAUGGUGCAUCAUCCAUCCUCGUCUACUGAGGUUUCAGCUGCAGACACAGGCAGGGCUAUAGUCCAUGCAUCUCGAGCAACUCCCUCUAGGACAGAAGCAGCUGAAGAGGAGGAAGCCCUGAAGAGCCUCAUGGACAUUGCAGUGAGUAAAUCCAUACCUGUGUGAGGGUGCUGAGGCGCUGGCACAGGGUGCCCAGAGAAGCUGUGGCUGCCCCAUCCCUGGCAGUGCUCAAGGCCAGGUUGGACACAGGGGCUUGGAGCAAGCUGCUCCAGUGGAAGGGGUCCCUGCCUGUG